AGAAGAAAUCGAGUGGGGUUCGAGGGGACAAAUUGUCGAAGUAAGGUGUAAUCAAGAGAUAGGGAAGACGAAAGAGGAGGAAGCGGCGCUAUCUCAGAAAAAUCGAAAAGAAAUGCGAAGAAAAACCCUAAAAAAUCAAGGAUAAGAAGGUUGAAGAUGAGGGUGAAGAAGACGAAGGUUCAGGCCAAAGAAAAGAAAAGCAAAGAAGAAGAAGCUUGGAGAAGAAGGAAAAGAAAAGCCGUUGGAUCGAUUUCCGAGGCUGGCUGUAAUGAUGAAGACAUGGAAACAAUUAAUAUGACCUAAUUAAUGCUGCAGAUAAGGCAAAAGGAAUAUAGAGAUCAUGGCCGUCGAAAGAGAAAGGACGAGUGAGAAGAAAAUCGUGUAAGGGAAUUCAAAAUGACU
rnacentral:lncRNA from 1 species